UUGGCUAAACCGGUAGCCUCUCCCAGCUGUCUGUUUUGAAACGCAUAUACCCCUAGAAGAAGUUGCAGAUUCAACUAUUAACCCUUCACUGGGCGGCUUUUAAUUAGCCCUUGGCACUGGGACUUGGAGGUGGGCUGGUUUGGGAACACUGGACAAAGGUCUCAGGGUCUGAAGCCCCAAGGGGCAGUCGUGUGGGAGGAGCCUCAAGUUAACACCACCUACUUAAUCUCCUUCCCACCUCCUCCUUUCCUGUCCUGAAGUCCUCUCUUCCGCCUUACCUGGUCCCUGGCCCUGCCACUGCUAACAGGAGUGGUUUCUACUUUGUUAAUCAGACACCAUCACUCCGAGCACCAAGUCCGAUAAGGGCAGGGUCUCUAAGAGUCAUCUGCAAAUGCUUCCCAUUAUGUGCUCAGUCAGGAUUUGCUGAGUAGACAGGAACUCGUGGACAGACAUUAUGCAUAUAGUAGAAGAUUACAAGGACAGGAGCCCUCUUGUGAAGGUUGAAUGUUCAACCAAAGCAAAGAGCACCAGUAACAGAUGGCCAAAGACUAUAGAAAAGGAAAGUACUCGCCCGUGGUGUGUUAAAGAGAAAUUUCCUGAAAAGAAAAAGGAAAAAAGAAAGUCAGCCAUAUGGACAUGGACUUCCUGCUGCAGGUCUGUGGACUCCAAGCAAGGGCACACAACCUCCACUGGGGGGAGGGAAAAAAUAUUAGUGCUUUAAUUUGUAAAUGCUAUCUUGUUGGGAAUUUCUGUUUCUUUCUUUCUUUUUUGCGUUUAUUUAUUUUUUAAGGGGAUACAUAUAUUUUUAAGUUUAUUUAUUUAUUUUGAGAGAGAAAAAAAGAGAGAGAGAGCGAAUCCCAAGCAGGCUCCACGCUGUCAGCACAGAGCCCCACAUAGGGCUCGAUCUCACAACUGUGAGAUCAUGACCUGAGCUGAAAUCAAGAGUCAGACGCUUAACCAACGAAGCCAUCCAGGGCAUCAUUGAGGCUAUGUGGUGAAAAAUGUCAGAACCACAGGAUGGAAUGAGCCUGGAUCCUGGAAUCACUCCUGAAAGAAAGCUUCCUAUGAGAAAUCCCAACCAUGAACACCUGCUUUGAACUUUAUGUGACUGAUAAAUAAACAUUAAUUGUAUUAAGCCACUGAGACUGGAGAUCAUUAU